rnacentral:rRNA from 1 species
CAGUAGCCGCGGUAAUACGGAGGGUGCAAGCGUUAUCCGGAUUUAUUGGGUUUAAAGGGUCCGUAGGCGGAUCUGUAAGUCAGUGGUGAAAUCUCACAGCUUAACUGUGAAACUGCCAUUGAUACUGCAGGUCUUGAGUAAAUUUGAAGUGGCUGGAAUAAGUAGUGUAGCGGUGAAAUGCAUAGAUAUUACUUAGAACACCAAUUGCGAAGGCAGGUCACUAAGAUUUAACUGACGCUGAUGGACGAAAGCGUGGGGAGCAAACAGGAUUAGAUACCCCUGUAGUCCCUGUCUCUUAUAC